rnacentral:pre_miRNA from 7 species
AUUCAGAGAGGAGAUAUUGUAAGACUCCCUUUUGGGGACCCCCACUCUAGUCUCGGGAGAGAGAGCACACCCAAAGAAACACGAGAAUCC